rnacentral:rRNA from 1 species
GAUGAACGCUGGCGGCGUGCUUAACACAUGCAAGUCGAACGAGAAGUGAAGACGGAAACCUUCGGGCGGAAGGCUUUAUUUCGAGUGGCGGACGGGUGAGUAACGCGUGGGUAACCUGCCUCAUACAGGGGGAUAACAGUUGGAAACGACUGUUAAUACCGCAUAAGACCACAGCACCGCAUGGUGCGGGGGUAAAAACUCCGGUGGUAUGAGAUGGACCCGCGUUCGAUUAGCCAGUUGGCGGGGUAACGGCCCACCAAAGCGACGAUCGAUAGCCGAUCUGAGAGGAUGACCGGCCACAUUGGGACUGAGACACGGCCCAAACUCCUACGGGAGGCAGCAGUGGGGAAUAUUGCACAAUGGGGGAAGCCCUGAUGCAGCGACGCCGCGUGAGUGAAGAAGUAUUUCGGUAUGUAAAGCUCUAUCAGCAGGGAAGAAAAUGACGGUACCUGAGUAAGAAGCCCCGGCUAACUACGUG